rnacentral:rRNA from 1 species
GAUGAACGCUGACAGAAUGCUUAACACAUGCAAGUCGACCCGAGAGUACUUCGGUACUGAUAGGGUGGCGCACGGGUGAGUAACACGUGAAUAACCUGCCCUUAAGACUGGGACAACUACUUGAAAAGGUAGCUAAUACCGGAUAAGCUCACAGUACAGCAUUGUACAGAGAGAAAAGCUAUAUGCACUUAAGGAGGGGUUCGCGUCCCAUUAGCUAGUUGGUGAGGUAAAGGCUCACCAAGGCGACGAUGGGUAGCCGGCCUGAGAGGGUGACCGGCCACACUGGAACUGAGACACGGCCCAGACUCCUACGGGAGGCAGCAGUGGGGAAUUUUGGACAAUGGGCGCAAGCCUGAUCCAGCAAUGCCGCGUGCAGGAAGAAGGCCUUCGGGUUGUAAACUGCUUUUGUACGGAACGAAAAGACCG